GGACGAACGCUGGCGGCGUGCCUAAUACAUGCAAGUUGAGCGCUGAAGGUUGGUACUUGAACCGACUGGAUGAGCAGCGAACGGGUGAGUAACGCGUGGGGAAUCUGCCUUUGAGCGGGGGACAACAUUUGGAAACGAAUGCUAAUACCGCAUAAAAACUUUAAACACAAGUUUUAAGUUUGAAAGAUGCAAUUGCAUCACUCAAAGAUGAUCCCGCGUUGUAUUAGCUAGUUGGUGAGGUAAAGGCUCACCAAGGCGAUGAUACAUAGCCGACCUGAGAGGGUGAUCGGCCACAUUGGGACUGAGACACGGCCCAAACUCCUACGGGAGGCAGCAGUAGGGAAUCUUCGGCAAUGGACGAAAGUCUGACCGAGCAACGCCGCGUGAGUGAAGAAGGUUGUCGGAUCGUAAAACUCUGUUGGUAGAGAAGAACGUUGGUGAGAGUGGAAAGCUCAUCAAGUGACGGUAACUACCCAGAAAGGGACGGCUAACUACGUG
rnacentral:rRNA from 1 species